UGGGGCGUCGUCAAGGGGCAUGACACCGGGUUUUGGUCCCGGGAUCCUAGGUUCGAAUCCUAGCGCCCCAGCCA
rnacentral:tRNA from 1 species